rfam:Planctomyces sp. SH-PL62 plasmid pPL62-3, complete sequence.
CAGUGGGUGCGAGUCCCACCCGGCCAACUGGGUCGCUCCAGCCGGAAGCCAUCGGAGCGGCGGCGGAGGUGACGAAGCCGCCGAAGCCUUCGAGAAAACGGGCCGCGCAGGCGGCUCGGCGAGCAGGCAGGCCGUAACGCGA